rnacentral:rRNA from 1 species
UACGGGGGGGGCAAGCGUUGUUCGGAAUUACUGGGCGUAAAGGGCUCGUAGGCGGCCAACUAAGUCAUACGUGAAAUCCCCCGGCUUAACCGGGGAACUGCGUCUGAUACUGGCAGGCUUGAAUUCGGGAGAGGGAUGCGGAAUUCCAGGUGUAGCGGUGAAAUGCGUAGAUAUCUGGAGGAACACCGGUGGCGAAGGCGGCAUCCUGGACCGAGAUUGACGCUGAUGCGCGAAAGCCAGGGGAGCAAAGCGGGG